GACGAACGCUGGCGGCGUGCUUAACACAUGCAAGUCGAACGGAAAGGCCCUGCUUUUGUGGGGUGCUCGAGUGGCGAACGGGUGAGUAACACGUGAGUAACCUGCCCUUGACUUUGGGAUAACUUCAGGAAACUGGGGCUAAUACCGGAUAGGAGCUCCUGCUGCAUGGUGGGGGUUGGAAAGUUUCGGCGGUUGGGGAUGGACUCGCGGCUUAUCAGCUUGUUGGUGGGGUAGUGGCUUACCAAGGCUUUGACGGGUAGCCGGCCUGAGAGGGUGACCGGCCACAUUGGGACUGAGAUACGGCCCAGACUCCUACGGGAGGCAGCAGUGGGGAAUAUUGCACAAUGGGCGGAAGCCUGAUGCAGCAACGCCGCGUGCGGGAUGACGGCCUUCGGGUUGUAAACCGCUUUCGCCUGUGACGAAGCGUGAGUGACGGUAAUGGGUAAAGAAGCACCGGCUAACUACGUGCCAGCAGCCGCGGUGAUACGUAGGGUGCGAGCGUUGUCCGGAUUUAUUGGGCGUAGAGGGCUCGUAGGUGGUUGAUCGCGUCGGAAGUGUAAUCUUGGGGCUUAACCCUGAGCGUGCUUUCGAUACGGGUUGACUUGAGGAAGGUAGGGGAGAAUGGAAUUCCUGGUGGAGCGGUGGAAUGCGCAGAUAUCAGGAGGAACACCAGUGGCGAAGGCGGUUCUCUGGGCCUUUCCUGACGCUGAGGAGCGAAAGCGUGGGGAGCGAACAGGCUUAGAUACCCUGGUAGUCCACGCUGUAAACGGUGGGUACUAGGUGUGGGGUCCAUUCCACGGGUUCCGUGCCGUAGCUAACGCUUUAAGUACCCCGCCUGGGGAGUACGGCCGCAAGGCUAAAACUCAAAGGAAUUGACGGGGCCCCGCACAAGCGGCGGAGCAUGCGGAUUAAUUCGAUGCAACGCGUAGAACCUUACCUGGGUUUGACAUGGAUCGGGAGUGCUCAGAGAUGGGUGUGCCUCUUUUGGGGUCGGUUCACAGGUGGUGCAUGCCUGUCGUCAGCUCGUGUCGUGAGAUGUUGGGUUAAGUCCCGCAACGAGCGCAACCCUUGUUCACUGUUGCCAGCACGUUAUGGUGGGGACUCAGUGGAGACCGCCGGGGUCAACUCGGAGGAAGGUGGGGAUGACGUCAAGUCAUCAUGCCCCUUAUGUCCAGGGCUUCACGCAUGCUACAAUGGCUGGUACAGAGAGUGGCGAGCCUGUGAGGGUGAGCGAAUCUCGGAAAGCCGGUCUCAGUUCGGAUUGGGGUCUGCAACUCGACCUCAUGAAGUCGGAGUCGCUAGUAAUCGCAGAUCAGCAACGCUGCGGUGAAAACGUUCCCGGGGCU
rnacentral:rRNA from 1 species